rnacentral:rRNA from 1 species
CUACGGGAUGCAGCAGUAGGGAAUCUUAGACAAUGGGGGAAACCCUGAUCUAGCCAUGCCGCGUGAGUGAUGAAGGCCUUAGGGUUGUAAAGCUCUUUCGCUGGGGAAGAUAAUGACGGUACCCAGUAAAGAAACCCCGGCUAACUCCGUGCCAGCAGCCGCGGUAAUACGGAGGGGGUUAGCGUUGUUCGGAAUUACUGGGCGUAAAGCGUGCGUAGGCGGGCUAUUAAGUCAGGGGUGAAAUCCCGGGGCUCAACCCCGGAACUGCCUUUGAUACUGGUAGUCUUGAGUUCGAGAGAGGUGAGUGGAAUUUCGAGUGUAGAGGUGAAAUUCGUAGAUAUUCGGAGGAACAUCAGUGGCGAAGGCGACUCACUGGCUCGAUACUGACGCUGAGGUGCGAAAGUGUGGGGAGCAAACAGGAUUAGAUACCCGCGUAGUC